rnacentral:snRNA from 1 species
CGCUCGCUUCAGCAGCAGGAUAUUAAAACUGGAUGACAGAGAAGAUUAGCAUGGAUGGCCUCUCUGCAAGGGUGGCAUGUGAAUUCAUGGAGUGUUAGUUAUUUUU